UCUCUCCAGAUUCCUUAUCUCUCAAACCUAAAUAGUGGUUUGAGUGGCUUAAAAGUAGAAGAGGAGGAAAAGUAGAAUUGAAAUGGACUUGGAGGCUUUAGUGACAAACAAGUUCAUGGCAAACAAAC
rnacentral:snoRNA from 1 species